UACGAAGGGUGCAAACGUUGUUCGGAAUUACUGGGCGUAAAGCGUGCGCAGGCGGCUUCUCAAGUCAGGGGUGAAAGCCCAGAGCUCAACUCUGGAAUUGCCUUUGAGACUGAGUGGCUUGAGUACGAGAGAGGUGAGUGGAAUUCCCAGUGUAGAGGUGAAAUUCGUAGAUAUUGGGAAGAACACCGGUGGCGAAGGCGGCUCACUGGCUCGUAACUGACGCUCAUGCACGACAGCGUGGGGAGCAAACAGG
rnacentral:rRNA from 1 species